UACGGAGGGAGCUAGCGUUGUUCGGAAUUACUGGGCGUAAAGCGCACGUAGGCGGCUUUGUAAGUUAGAGGUGAAAGCCCGGAGCUCAACUCCGGAAUUGCCUUUAAAACUGCAUCGCUAGAAUUGUGGAGAGGUGAGUGGAAUUCCGAGUGUAGAGGUGAAAUUCGUAGAUAUUCGGAAGAACACCAGUGGCGAAGGCGACUCACUGGACACAUAUUGACGCUGAGGUGCGAAAGCGUGGGGAGCAAACAGG
rnacentral:rRNA from 1 species